GUGCUGUGAGCUCGAUGAGUAGGGCGGGACACGUGGUAUCCUGUCUGAAUAUGGGGGGACCAUCCUCCAAGGCUAAAUACUCCUGACUGACCGAUAGUGAACCAGUACCGUGAGGGAAAGGCGAAAAGAACCCCGGCGAGGGGAGUGAAAAAGAACCUGAAACCGUGUACGUACAAGCAGUGGGAGCACCCUUUGGGGUGUGACUGCGUACCUUUUGUAUAAUGGGUCAGCGACUUAUAUUCUGUAGCAAGGUUAACCGCAUAGGGGAGCCGGAGGGAAACCGAGUCUUAAUUGGGCGUUAAGUUGCAGGGUAUAGACCCGAAACCCGGUGAUCUAGCCAUGGGCAGGUUGAAGGUUGGGUAACACUAACUGGAGGACCGAACCGACUAAUGUUGAAAAAUUAGCGGAUGACCUGUGGCUGGGGGUGAAAGGCCAAUCAAACCGGGAGAUAGCUGGUUCUCCCCGAAAGCUAUUUAGGUAGCGCCUCGUGAAUUCAUCUCCGGGGGUAGAGCACUGUUUCGGCUAGGGGGCCAUCCCGGCUUACCAACCCGAUGCAAACUGCGAAUACCGGAGAAUGUUAUCACGGGAGACACACGGCGGGUGCUAACGUCCGUCGUGAAGAGGGAAACAACCCAGACCGCCAGCUAAGGUCCCAAAGUCAUGGUUAAGUGGGAAACGAUGUGGGAAGGCCCAGACAGCCAGGAUGUUGGCUUAGAAGCAGCCAUCAUUUAAAGAAAGCGUAAUAGCUCACUGGUCGAGUCGGCCUGCGCGGAAGAUGUAACGGGGCUAAACCAUGCACCGAAGCUGCGGCAGCGACACUA
rnacentral:rRNA from 1 species